UUCUAAGAAAGAACCAAGGUAGGUCCAAAGUGUUGAAUAGAGGAAAGAAGAAUCAUCGCCCAUGAUACCACGCGGAAACACCAACACUCGCACAAUAAAGAAAACGCGAAGUAACUUGCGGCGCCGCGAAUUGCAUCGGUUCACGAAAUCGCGUUUUAGAACUCAUGGAUUGCGGUGAUGUUCAUCUAACCACCCUUUUAAUGGAACCUAAUCUUAAGGCAAUCAAAACGAAAAUGGAAUCGCAACGCAGAACAACGGAAAUAAAAGCGGAUUGCAGUGAGCGAUACUCACCGGAUUGAAGCGACGCGGAGACUUAACCUUAAUUGUCUUCUCUUUGUUUUUCUGCUUCUGUUUCGAGUCUCCUUCUUCUCAAUUUCAACAUCGUCUUUGUCGACUUGGAAUUGCAGAAUCCAUCACCGAAAAUGACCUAUAACCAAAUCGUAUUGGCGCGUGAACCUUCGACGAAAUUAGCUUCGGGCAGGUUGUUAGGAGUUCUAUUAGAGUUAAAUUUGUCAAUUCCGUUAUUGGUUAGUGAAGUAAGUGAAAAUGAAAGACCAAUCUCAGUUAGUUUCAAAUAUAUUAGUUUGUUAUAAGUUAGUUAGGUUGAAGGAUUCAGUUAGUGAAUUGGUUAGUUUAGAAAUCCUGUUAGGAGGAGGUUGUAGGUUAGUUCAAGCUUCUGUUUAUUUAUUAGACUACAAUUUGGAUAUAAAUGAAGUUUGUUGAAAUUAGUUGGGUUUUUUCCUGUUAUGACAUUCUGCAGAUACAAGUUAUUUUUCUGUUAUGUGAGCUGCCAUGUGCUAAGUAUGAAUGAACUUGUUGAUGCAGAAUUACAGUGAACCGGACUAUUCUACAGUUGGUUCUUGCAUUAAGUUUGGCUGGAAACCCAAAGCGAGUUAUUGACCUAUUGGUUACGGGGAUUAGCUUAAUGGCUGUUGCGGAAUGCUAGUUGGAUACGACGAGGUUAUGUUUGGAAUUUCAAAUGCAUGAUUAUUGUCAUGGAUGUUCAAAUAAUGGAUGGUUGUUAAUGCGAGCCAAAUUCUACUAUGCUAAUCUGAUGCAGGGGUUGUUAUCGGAUUAGAUGUAUGGUGCCUUGGUGAUUUAUGGAACCUAAAGCAGGAUACAAUUCAGAAAAUCCAGUAGGGCGGGUGAAAUCAUGAUGCAAAGUGGAAUUUGGCAUGUACUGGAAUUUGCUAGCAUUUGGAAUGGACUUGAAGAAACUUAAAAUGCUAUGAUCAUCAUGCUUGGAAUAGAUUUAGUUGGAGUUUAGUUUUUUUUUGUAUAAAUUAGUGGUUCUUGUGAGUUGUUGAUAAAUUUUAUUGUGAAUAUGAAUGUGUGUUUCUAAUUGAAACAUAAAGGGAUUUUGAAUAGAAAUUGUGGAUGAAAAUAUGAAAUCUUUUGUAAUCUUGGAAUUGAAAUAUGGUUUGUGGUUUGUAAUGGGAUGUUGAUUAAUGGGAAAUUAGUUGUAAUCUUCUUGAAAUGCACUAUUAUGAGCCGUGUUUGGUUCUGAUUUGUAAUUAGAAUUAAUGUUAGUAUAGGAAAAGUGCAUUGUACAUAUGUAUAGUGGGGUAUUCGUUACCUUUAGAUUUAUUGACUAAAUCAAGAGUAAGCAUACAA